CAGCAGCCGCGGUAAUGCGAAGGGGGCUAGCGUUGUUCGGAAUCACUGGGCGUAAAGAGCACGUAGGCGGAUCUUUAAGUCAGAGGUGAAAUCCCGAGGCUCAACCUCGGGACUGCCUUUGAUACUGGGGAUCUCGAGUCCGGGAGAGGUGAGUGGAACUGCGAGUGUAGAGGUGAAAUUCGUAGAUAUUCGCAAGAACACCAGUGGCGAAGGCGGCUCACUGGCCCGGAACUGACGCUGAGGUGCGAAAGCGUGGGGAGCAAACAGGAUUAGAUACCCGGGUAGUCCCUGUCUCUUAUAC
rnacentral:rRNA from 1 species